UGCCGAUGUAGCUUAGAUGGUAGAGCAACUGAUUCGUAAUCAGUAGGUCCGCAGUUCGAAUCUGCGCAUCGGCAU
rnacentral:tRNA from 1 species